UACGUAGGGGGCAAGCGUUAUCCGGAUUUAUUGGGCGUAAAGAGCUCGUAGACGGCCGUUCGCGUCGGAUGUGAAAGCUCAGGGCUCAACCCUGAGACGCCAUUCGAUACGGGACGGCUAGAGGUAGGUAGGGGAAAGUGGAAUUCCUGGUGUAGCGGUGGAAUGCGCAGAUAUCAGGAGGAACACCGGUGGCGAAGGCGGUUCUCUGGGCAUUACCUGACGCUGAGGAGCGAAAGUGUGGGGAGCGAACAGG
rnacentral:rRNA from 1 species